CGCGCCAGGGGCUGGGAAGGAGACACGGCUGCAGUGUUCUUGCCAGGAUGGUCACUUUAUUGACAGGCAGGGCCCCAGCCCCUCGGCCCAGCGGAGGGCGCUCUGGGCAUGAGGUUUGACCACCCGGCCCUCCCACGCUCCUGGCAGGGGCCCCAGACAGGGCUGAGGGGUGGCUGGCCAGAGCCUGCACAGGAGCCUCAUGGAACAGGGCAGUCUGGCCUGGGCACCGGAGUCAAUAAAUUAUGGUCAAAAAA